GUGCCAGCAGCCGCGGUAAUACGUAGGUGGCAAGCGUUGUCCGGAAUUAUUGGGCGUAAAGCGCGCGCAGGCGGUUUCUUAAGUCUGAUGUGAAAGCCCACGGCUCAACCGUGGAGGGUCAUUGGAAACUGGGAAACUUGAGUGCAGGAGAGAAGAGUGGAAUUCCACGUGUAGCGGUGAAAUGCGUAGAGAUGUGGAGGAACACCAGUGGCGAAGGCGACUCUUUGGCCUGUAACUGACGCUGAGGCGCGAAAGCGUGGGGAGCAAACAGGAUUAGAUACCCUGGUAGUCC
rnacentral:rRNA from 1 species